AUUGAACGCUGGCGGCAGGCCUAACACAUGCAAGUCGAGCGGAUGAAGGGAGCUUGCUCCUGGAUUCAGCGGCGGACGGGUGAGUAAUGCCUAGGAAUCUGCCUGGUAGUGGGGGAUAACGUCCGGAAACGGGCGCUAAUACCGCAUACGUCCUGAGGGAGAAAGUGGGGGAUCUUCGGACCUCACGCUAUCAGAUGAGCCUAGGUCGGAUUAGCUAGUUGGUGGGGUAAAGGCCUACCAAGGCGACGAUCCGUAACUGGUCUGAGAGGAUGAUCAGUGACACUGGGAGUGAGACACGGUCGAGAAGCCUGAGGGAGGGAGCAGUGGGGAAUAGUGGACAAUGGGGGAAAGACGGAUCGAGAAAUGCCGCGUGAGUGUUGAAGGCCUGAGGGUUGUAAAGCUCUUUGACACGGGAUGAUAAGGACAGUACCGGGAGAAUAAGCUACGGCUAACUCCGUG
rnacentral:rRNA from 1 species